CUCAGGCACUUCCUCCCGUCCAUAUGGUCAGCGGAGACAUAAAUGGUUAAAGGAGAUCCGAACGCUUCAGAAGAGCACAAACCUCUUGAUAAGGAGGCUACCCUUCGGCCGCCUGGCAAGAGAAAUAUGUUCUAAAUUCACUCGUGGUGUGGACUUCAAUUGGCAAGCCCAGGCCCUGUUGGCCCUACAAGAGGCAGCAGAAGCAUUUCUAGUUCAUCUCUUUGAGGAUGCCUAUCUCCUCUCCUUACAUGCUGGCCGAGUUACUCUUUUCCCGAAGGAUGUGCAACUGGCCAGGAGGAUCCGAGGCAUUGAGGAAGGACUUGGCUGAGCUCCCGCACCCAGUGUCUGUCUUUCCUGCUCACCCAGAGAGUAAGUGUACUUUGCGGGGAAAAUGCUUAGCUUCUCAUCACUGGAGUUGGAGUUUCUCUGAAGGAAUUUCCCUUCCCCAUCCUAGUUCCCUGCCAUCUCUUUCCCUUUAUCUAGUACAGGUUUCACCUACUUUUAAUUUGACUGCUUGGGACUCUAUGGCUCAUCCCCUUUUGUACAAUGUUAAAUAAAGAUAUUUUUCUAUUAA